GGGGAAGCCGGUGCCAAUCCGGCGCUGACCCCGCAACCGUGAGCCCGGCCGCCACCCGAUCGGGUGGCGGCCGGGCGAGCCGGACCU
rnacentral:ncRNA from 1 species